AUGAGUUAUUUAAUUUUUAAUGGAACAAUAUGAAUGGAGGGUAUAUUAGGAAAACACUAUAUAAAGUUUAUUGCCAAAACUAUGUUAACUGCGUUUUUUUAAAUUAUGUGAAAAUAGAAAUAAAUCUAUCUUUGUGGGACAGAGUGUGCAUUAAAUAUUUAAUAAUGAAAUAAUCCAAUAAUUAAAAUUGAAAAAAAAAAUCAUAACAAAAUUAAAAAGGAAAAAGGAGAGAGAAAGAAAUGAAGAAAGUGUCUUCUAAUUUAUGGGUUUUGGCUCAUUCAAGGAAAAAAAAAAGCUAGUGGUGUGCCAAAUUUUAACUUUAUAUACUUGGUCCAUGUGCAUGGCACUGUUCCAGUAGCAUUGCCAAGCAGAUGGGUUUAUUAUAAUAUUAAAUAUAGAUCUUAUUAAAUACCCAAAUUAGACCAAUUAUGUGUUUUCAUUUUGGAGUACAAUGAAUUGAGCAAAGAAAACUCUUCAAAUCAGCAUGAGACAUUUGAGAAUAAAUUAUGCAUUUUAAGAUUGCAUUGGUUAUUAUCUUUUGAUAAAAAAAAAAAAAUAAGGGGACAAGUAGAGGGAGAAGAAUAUCAAGAGAUUUUUUGAUAAAUAAAUAGAGGAAAGAGUGAGAUGUGAACACUUAAGAAUGAGGAGGAAUUACUCUAGGUAUGCAUUCCUUCCAAACCAAAUCAGAUACUCAUAAUUCCAUUAUUAAAAGCCUAAUAGAGUACUAGCUUGCAGUGGAUUUAUGGAAGCUCAACGAUUGGCCUUUUAGGAUUAGUGAUCCUGAAUAGAAGAAUUGCAAAUGAUUUCUAAAUAGGAAGCAACACCUAAUAAAAUUCAAAUUUCCUAAAUAAUAAUACAAUUCGGUGUCCUUGAUAAUAUCUAUGUAAUUAGGAAAAUACUAAUAAAAGAACUAACAUAAACCCUAAAUUAUCAAAAUUGACAACUAAUUGAAACAAUUUUAUGUGCUUUCUGUGGUAGAUUCUUAACACUAGGCAUUUUAUCCCAUGUAUUCACUUACUUGUUUAUUCUUCCAAUAGUUUGAACUUUGAAAGUGCAUUACUGUUUUACUGAAAUUGUAGAUAGUUUAAUUGGAAGUUUUUAUAUCAUUUUUGAUUCCCAGAAAAUGCAUUUAUAUUGAUUUUAUUAAAUUCAGUGUUUGUAAACCCAACAUGAUGUGAUACGUGGUAAAUAUUUAAUAUUGUUUGAGCUUGUUACAGUUUUAUAAGUGUAUUUGGCUUAUAGGGAAUCAUCAAUUUAUUCAUUGCAAUGUCCUUUCAGA
rnacentral:misc_RNA from 1 species